GACGAACGCUGGCGGCGUGCUUAACACAUGCAGGUCGAGCGGUAAGGCCCUUUCGGGGGUACACGAGCGGCGAACGGGUGAGUAACACGUGGGUGACCUGCCCUCAGUUCUGGGAUAAGCCUGGGAAACCGGGUCUAAUACUGGAUAUGACCUCAUGACGCAUGUUGUGGGGUGGAAAGCCUUGUGCGACUGAGGAUGGGCCCGCGGCCUAUCAGCUUGUUGGUGGGGUGAUGGCCUACCAAGGCGACGACGGGUAGCCGGCCUGAGAGGGCGACCGGCCACACUGGGACUGAGACACGGCCCAGACUCCUACGGGAGGCAGCAGUGGGGAAUCUUGCGCAAUGGGCGAAAGCCUGACGCAGCGACGCCGCGUGAGGGAUGACGGCCUCG
rnacentral:rRNA from 1 species